GACGAACCGUGCAAACGUUACUCGGAAUCACUGGGCUUAAAGGGCGCGUAGGUGGCAGAGUAAGUGGAAGGUGAAAUCCCAUCGGCUCAACCGUGGAAUUGCCUCCCAUACUGCUCAGCUCGAGAAAGGUAGGGGCAAGUGGAACGUUCGGUGGAGCGGUGAAAUGUGUUGAUAUCGGACGGAACGCCGGUGGCGAAAGCGACUUGCUGGCCCUUUUCUGACACUGAGGCGCGAAAGCUAGGGGAGCGAACGGG
rnacentral:rRNA from 1 species